GGCUCAGCGAUCGGGUCUUCCUUAACUGGUUGCACUCGAGCCGCUUUGCCUUAUCUUCUAGACACACGUCUCAGCAGACGUGCGGCUCUAGGACUUUUACUGUGAAUAAAUUAGAGUGUUUAAAGCAGGCUAACGCCUGAAUACAUUAGCAUGGAAUAAUGAAAUAGGACGAGCGAUCCUAUUUUGUUGGUUUCUAGGAUUGACGUA
rnacentral:rRNA from 1 species